GCAAUACGGAGCGGCAGACGGGUGAGUAACACGUGGGAACGUACCCUUUGGUUCGGAACAACCCAGGGAAACUUGGGCUAAUACCGGAUAAGUCCGCAAGGAGAAAGAUUUAUCGCCGAAGGAUCGGCCCGCGUCUGAUUAGCUUGUUGGUGAGGUAACGGCUCACCAAGGCGACGAUCAGUAGCUGGUCUGAGAGGAUGAUCAGCCACACUGGGACUGAGACACGGCCCAGACUCCUACGGGAGGCAGCAGUUAGGAAUCUUGGACAAUGGGCGCAAGCCUGAUCCAGCCAUGCCGCGUGAGUGAUGAAGGCCCUAGGG
rnacentral:rRNA from 1 species